rnacentral:sRNA from 1 species
GCUUCCUUAAUUUUGUGAGCGUCAUUAUUCUGUCGUAAUAUCAGGGUAUUUGUUCUCACGUAGCGAACAGCUUGUUUCCAUUUUUGACCACGGAUGUACUGGCACUGGUGUUGAGGCAAGUUUAGGAAGGUCGGGUAGCUCCCGGCCUUUUGCUUU